AGAGUUUGAUCCGGCUCAGGAUGAACGCUAGCGACAGGCUUAACACAUGCAAGUCGAGGGGCAGCGGGGUAGUGCUUGCACUACUGCCGGCGACCGGCGCACGGGUGAGUAACACGUAUGGAACCUGCCCGCAGCAGGGGGAUAAGCGGAAGAAAUUCCGUCUAAUACCGCGUAAGAACGUUGGGAGGCAUCUCCCGAUGUUUAAAGAUUUAUCGGCUGCGGAUGGCCAUGCGGCGCAUUAGCUAGUCGGCGGGGUAACGGCCCACCGAGGCGACGAUGCGUAGGGGUUCUGAGAGGAAGGUCCCCCACACUGGUACUGAGACACGGACCAGACUCCUACGGGAGGCAGCAGUGAGGAAUAUUGGUCAAUGGCCGAGAGGCUGAACCAGCCAAGUCGCGUGAGGGAAGACGGCCCUACGGGUUGUAAACCUCUUUUGUCGGGGAGCAAAGCGAACCACGUGUGGUUCAUUGAGAGUACCCGAAGAAAAAGCAUCGGCUAACUCCGUGCCAGCAGCCGCGGUAAUACGGAGGAUGCGAGCGUUAUCCGGAUUUAUUGGGUUUAAAGGGUGCGCAGGCGGAGGUGCAAGUCAGCGGUCAAAUUGCGGGGCUCAACCCCGUACUGCCGUUGAAACUGCAUCCCUUGAGUGCGCGAGAAGUAUGCGGAAUGCGUGGUGUAGCGGUGAAAUGCAUAGAUAUCACGCAGAACUCCGAUUGCGAAGGCAGCAUACCGGCGCGCAACUGACGCUCAUGCACGAAAGCGUGGGUAUCGAACAGGAUUAGAUACCCUGGUAGUCCACGCAGUAAACGAUGAACACUAACUGUUCGGCCAGAAUGAUGGCUGAGUGGUACAGCGAAAGCGUUAAGUGUUCCACCUGGGGAGUACGCCGGCAACGGUGAAACUCAAAGGAAUUGACGGGGGCCCGCACAAGCGGAGGAACAUGUGGUUUAAUUCGAUGAUACGCGAGGAACCUUACCCGGGCUCAAACGACACAGGAAUACUUUGAAAGGAGGUAGCCCUACGGGGUCUGUGUCGAGGUGCUGCAUGGUUGUCGUCAGCUCGUGCCGUGAGGUGUCGGCUUAAGUGCCAUAACGAGCGCAACCCCUAUCGCCAGUUACCAUCAAGUAAAGUUGGGGACUCUGGCGAGACUGCCGGCGCAAGCUGAGAGGAAGGCGGGGAUGACGUCAAAUCAGCACGGCCCUUACGUCCGGGGCGACACACGUGUUACAAUGGCAGGUACAGAGAGAAGCCAGGUGGUGACACCGAGCGGAACUCGAAAGCCUGUCUCAGUUCGGAUUGGAGUCUGCAACCCGACUCCAUGAAGCUGGAUUCGCUAGUAAUCGCGCAUCAGCCACGGCGCGGUGAAUACGUUCCCGGGCCUUGCACACACCGCCCGUCA
rnacentral:rRNA from 1 species